AAGAGCCCCAGUGAGAGAGUGAAGCAGAUGAAAAGAUAACAUGAAAACCAACCAAGCAACGAACAAACAAACAAAAUAACCCAUUUCAAGUUCUCGGAGCCUGGUCUCAUUUCCAGCUGGAAAUUACUGCUGCAGACUGCAGGGUGGUCCCUGCACUCCCUGUGUAUAUGAUCUAGUGGUUGCUAAUGUCAUUAGAGAGAGAAAGACGUACACUGCUAUGAGAAGUCAGCAUUUUACAUGAUUCUGGGAGGGAAGAAAGGAGACAGGAACCAAGGAGCCUGAGUAGGGAUUUGCCCACCGCUGGGCAGCCAGGCUCCCGUCAGGAAGGCUUUUCAGAGGGAGUGUUGGAAGGAGUCGUCGAGGAGUCUUCCUCACCCAGGAAGUCUUCCUCACCGGGUGAGCCCCAACCUGCUGGACCUGCUCAGAAUUCGCCCAACAGGGGAUCCUGGUUGACUGAGGUCUGCUAAUUCCAAUUCACCUACGCUAAAUUCUCCCAGAAUGUCUUCAUCAUCAAUGAAUCCCUUUCCACUGACACAACGCCUGGAAGAACAUAAACUCU
rnacentral:lncRNA from 1 species